ACGGGCGUAGCUCAGUUGGUAGAGCACCGGUCUCCAAAACCGAAGGUCGUAAGUUCGAGCCUUACCGCCCGUG
rnacentral:tRNA from 1 species